GACGAACGCUGGCGGCGUGCUUAACACAUGCAAGUCGAACGGAAAGGCCCUGCUUUUGUGGGGUGCUCGAGUGGCGAACGGGUGAGUAACACGUGAGUAACCUGCCCUUGACUUUGGGAUAACUUCAGGAAACUGGGGCUAAUACCGGAUAGGAGCUCCUGCUGCAUGGUGGGGGUUGGAAAGUUUCGGCGGUUGGGGAUGGACUCGCGGUUUAUCAGCUUGUUGGUGGGGUAGUGGCUUACCAAGGCUUCGACGGGUAGCCGGCCUGAGAGGGUGAUCGGCCACACUGGAACGGAGACACGGUCCAGACGCCUACGGGAGGCAGCAGCAGGGAAUCGUCCGCAAUGGGCGAAAGCCGGACGGAGCAACGCCGCGUGAGUGAUGAAGGUCUUCGGAUCGGAAAGCGCUGUUAGUAGGGAAGAAAAUAUGUGUAAGGAACUGUGCACAUCGUGACGGUACCUAAUCAGAAAGCCACGGCUAACUACGUG
rnacentral:rRNA from 1 species